rnacentral:rRNA from 1 species
GAUGAACGCUAGCGGGAGGCCUAACACAUGCAAGCCGAGCGGUAUUGUUUCUUCGGAAAUGAGAGAGCGGCGUACGGGUGCGUAACACGUGUGCAACCUGCCUUUAUCUGGGGGAUAGCCUUUCGAAAGGAAGAUUAAUACUCCAUAAUAUAUUGAACGGCAUCGUUUAAUAUUGAAAGCUCCGGCGGAUAGAGAUGGGCACGCGCAAGAUUAGCUAGUUGGUGAGGUAACGGCUCACCAAGGCGAUGAUCUUUAGGGGGCCUGAGAGGGUGAUCCCCCACACUGGUACUGAGACACGGACCAGACUCCUACGGGAGGCAGCAGUGAGGAAUAUUGGUCAAUGGGUGCAAGCCUGAACCAGCCAUCCCGCGUGAAGGACGACUGCCCUAUGGGUUGUAAACUUCUUUUGGAUAGGGAUAAACCUACCCUCGUGAGGGUAGCUGAAGGUACUAUACGAAUAAGCACCGGCUAACUCCGUG